GGGAGAGACGAUUUGAAUUGAAAAUGUGCCGCUCCGAAACACAUCACUCGGCAAAACACAAUUUGCUAACAAAUCUGCGCGAGCACAUCAAGAAAGCAAAUACGUUGUUUGUUAUUGAGCAGGAAAAUUGUGCGACAUAUGUUCUGGAUUACAGAUCGGGAUUCAUCAAAUUUGGUGAAUACUGAUCUGAGAGUAAUACAUUGUAUUAUCCUGUUCCCUCAAUAGAUGGCGUGUUUUUUUUUUUCUUUCACUUGCAGUUCGGCUCCUCAACACUAUAUGAAGAGCAGGACUCCAUGUUCUCGCUACAGGUCAUCGUCAUGUCUUCUCUCCUGUCUGGCAAUAUGUUUUGUUAAACAGGCCCCGAGGGAAGUGCUCUUCAAAUUCAAAGAGUCCAAGGAGUCGGCGGCGCCGUUCCAACCCUCGGCGGACCGCCGAGGACAAUGUGACCUCGGUAAGGGUGAUGUUAACACUCGUGGCGAUUGACAGGCGCCAUUUUUCUCAGGGUGACGUCUUUAUCGGUGGCCAUUGUCAUUCUGAAGGAACACAGUGCACCCGCCACCUUGCCUGGAACAAAAUGUAGUUUCCAUGACAACGCCAUUCUUCCAACUUUCAUGACAUUUUUGCCACACAGACUGACUUAAGCUGAUCUACACUACAGAGCUGCACCUCGGGGAUGUGAAGCUUUGGAAAGACAGCCUAUUUGUAUUUGACUCAAGGCAACUUGAUGGUUGUUGACCACAUGAAACCUUUUUUUUUCUUUCCACUAUAUUCAUCACAAAUUCUUUCAAGAAUUACAAAUCUGGGUUUUAGCGUGGAAAAAUAUGAGUUGGGGUAUGUACAGUAUUCCUUUAUUUGUCUGUAGAUCCGUAUCUGCCGUGCUCGAAGUAAAUGUCAGCCUGUGCAGGAAGGUGGAAGAAACACCUUUUUAAAAUAAAUAAAUAAAUAAAUACUAUAUAAUAUAACUAUAUAUAUAAUAAAUAUCAGAAGCAAAAUAAGGUUAGUAAGAUGAAUCAAUGCCGAGCUUCAAAUCAAGACCAUGAGCGGGCCACGGGGUGCGCCUACCAAACCUGAAUUACGAUUGUGCGUAGUAUGAAAUGAAUCAUUACCUCGGCGGCAGAGAAAAUAUCAUGUGUCGUGCUCCGAGCUAUUCCCCCUCGUGAGGACUGAUUUGCAAUCUGAAGACAGAUUGUGCAUUCAAGCAACAAUGCCGCUUUUAGCUUUCAGGCUGCCCCGGCGUGAGGGAUAUACAGGAUGCAAUCAAUAGGUGAAUUAAUUACAACACGGGCAAAUGGGACUAUUGUGUGACCAGAGGAGGUGUGAGAAAAGAUGGCGGCGUAACAGUCAACAUCAAUUCUUAGGCCGAGUGUCGCCGCAACAUAUGGGGUUCAAGGAAGCUCACGUGGGAGCCUGCGGCACGCCUUCAUCAUUUCUGCAUCAGCGAUGCGCACAAAUACCCGGCGGUUCGAUUCGACUGUGUGCAUGACAGACGCGGCAAGGCGACGCUAGCUUACACGGGAUGCUCGUGUCUCAUUAAAGUGAGCGACUCGUGCACAUUAAUGAUAUGAAAGCAAUUAAGGAGUUUAAGUGAGAUGGAACUAAAAGAAAAGGGCAGCUUUGAAGAGCUGGCGUGACACUUAUGGCCGCGGUCCACUUCCCUGACUUUGCACCAUUGUGAGUCUCAAGUGGUGGCGGGGAUGCAAGCCUACUUCCUGCUAGCGUGCUCGUCUAUUUAGAGGAGCGGUGUGUCGCUCCGUUUGCCCGUGGGCUACAUUUGCCUCGCUGCUAAUAUAUUCAAUCACCGCCCCGUGAAUUCCUUAAGAGAACAAUCGAGAGGAGGGGCGGGUGAAGGGGGCACAGCUGCUGACCUUGCCCUGGCACUUACCCCGCUUCCUGCUACUCGCAGCGGCAAUAUUCCAGGCUGUUGUUUUGCUUCUAUCAAAUUUUCCAUUAAAAGUGACAUUUCAUCUACAUCAAGCCCCGAGGUGCAAAAGCCACCCAAUAUUAAAGGAGGUGAGGGAUGGAAGAAUACGUUUGCCAGGUUUGCGCACGCACACACGCAUGCACGACUUUGUGUAUGCCCCCAGCUUCGACUGUAACUGACUCCAUUAUCAACAUCAAGGCAAUUACAUGCUUCUCUGUAUUCACUGUAGCUAUUAAAGCAAACAGCCAGUCAUUUAUCACAAGUAUGUAAACACCGGAGUGUUUCUCUCUCUUUCUCAUCAUUUGCCGCUAAUGUCACACCAUAUAUUGUAAGAUGCCCCAAAAGUAAACUUUUUUUUUUUUUUUUUUAAGAAACGGCUACAUUGCAGCGUAGACCUGGAGAAUUUGACGUACAAGCACAGACACAUUUUCUUAUGUGGCAAUGUUAACACAUUUUAAGUUUCAAAGAAAUCAACUGGGCAAAUCAGUUUAGUAGCCAGUUGCGCAUAAGCUCGAGAGAUUUAUGUACACAAGGCCUGCGAUGACUCAUAAAUCAAGAGACUGACUCAUAACUCAUGCGAGGGAAAAAAAAAAGUCAAAAUACGAAGUGUAAAAAAUCUUUGAGUGGUUUUCAUUCCCUCCUGAGCAUUAAAGCGUACUCAAUUGUGAUUAAAUUGUCUUGCACUG